rnacentral:rRNA from 1 species
UACGUAGGGGGCAAGCGUUGUCCGGAUUUAUUGGGCGUAAAGAGCGUGUAGGCGGCCUGGAAGGUCAGCUGUGAAAACUCGAGGCUUAACCUCGAGAUGUCAUCGGAAACCAUCUGGCUAGAGUCCGGAAGAGGAAAGUGGAAUUCCUGGUGUAGCGGUGAAAUGCGCAGAUAUCAGGAAGAACACCAAUGGCGAAAGCAGCUUCUGGGACGGUACUGACGCUGAGACGCGAAAGCGUGGGGAGCGAACAGG